GAUGAACGCUAGCGACAGGCUUAACACAUGCAAGUCGAGGGGCAGCACAGGUAGCAAUACCGGGUGGCGACCGGCGCACGGGUGAGUAACGCGUAUGCAACUUACCUAUCAGAGGGGGAUAACCCGGCGAAAGUCGGACUAAUACCGCAUGAAGCAGGGGUCCCGCAUGGGGAUAUUUGCUAAAGAUUCAUCGCUGAUAGAUAGGCAUGCGUUCCAUUAGGCAGUUGGCGGGGUAACGGCCCACCAAACCGACGAUGGAUAGGGGUUCUGAGAGGAAGGCCCCCCACAUUGGUACUGAGACACGGACCAAACUCCUACGGGAGGCAGCAGUGAGGAAUAUUGGUCAAUGGCCGAGAGGCUGAACCAGCCAAGUCGCGUGAGGGAUGAAGGUUCUAUGGAUCGUAAACCUCUUUUAUAAGGGAAUAAAGUGCGGGACGUGUCCCGUUUUGUAUGUACCUUAUGAAUAAGGAUCGGCUAACUCCGUG
rnacentral:rRNA from 1 species